UUACCAGUUUAAUAACAGGUGAUAAUAAUAAACAUAUCUCAUUCAAAUUACGUGACCCGGUCAGGUGACGUCACAGCAAGGGGCGACGUCACAGCAAGGGGCGUGGUCAAAUGGAAGGUUCGGAGUUCCUCCAGAACAUGGAUGUUCCGUUCAGAGAGUCUCACUCACUCAACCGCCUUUCACCAGUGAACACAGAGUUUUCUCUGGACGAAAAGCAACUCAACAAGCACCCAGUGAACAAUAGGGGUGAGCCUGGAGGAGUUCAGCUAGCCGCUGCUGGGGCUGCAGCUUCAUUCUGGUUGCCGUCGGAGAUGAGAAAGACCCUCCCUGCAGGAGGGGCCGGGACUGGACGUGAUGGUCUCCGGAGUGUCUGUGUUGGAUGGGUACCCUAGAACUCGCAGGAAUACAGGACUGGUACCUCUGUAGUAUCCUUAAGAGAGGCAGCGGCUAAAUUCUAUGCUUUACAGAACACGUUAAAUUACUCUAAUACCUAAAGUCAAUAAAACACUGACUGAAUCACUGACUAUACUACUGCUCGCGAUGUGUACUCACACUCAUGGUUUCUAACACCCAGCAUGCAACACUACUGAUCGCGAGCUGUAUUCACACUUAUCAUGGUUUGGAUGUUGCUUGCAGGUUUUCAGAGCUUUCAGGAUAUUCUGCCUUGAUUUUAAUCCAGAACACCCGCACUCCGGCAGAGUUGAAAAGUACGUUUAAGUUUCAUGUUUGUGGUAAAGUUAUCACGUAGCCUCUUGACAUGUGUCAAGAGUAAGAGGCUCAGACGCACAGACGGAUGUAUCCGGUCAUUUUUCAAAAUAAAACACAUUUCCGGCCUUGA